UACGGAGGGUGCAAGCGUUAUCCGGAUUCACUGGGUUUAAAGGGUGCGUAGGUGGGCAGGUAAGUCCGUGGUGAAAUCUCUGAGCUUAACUCAGAAACUGCCGUGGAUACUAUCUGUCUUGAAUAUAGUGGAGGUGAGCGGAAUAUGUCAUGUAGCGGUGAAAUGCUUAGAUAUGACAUAGAACAUCGAUUGCGAAGGCAGCUCGCUACGCUAUUAUUGACACUGAGGCACGAAAGCGUGGGGAUCAAACAGG
rnacentral:rRNA from 1 species